AGCAGUAGCCGCGGUAAUACGAACGGUGCAAGCGUUAAUCGGAAUUACUGGGCGUAAAGGGUGCGUAGGCGGUUAGUUAAGUCUGUCGUGAAAUCCCCGGGCUCGACCUGGGAAUGGCGAUGGAUACUGGCUGGCUAGAGUGUGUCAGAGGAUGGUGGAAUUUCCGGCGUAGCGGUGAAAUGCGUAGAGAUCGGAAGGAACAUCAGUGGCGAAGGCGGCCAUCUGGGACAACACUGACGCUGAAGCACGAAAGCGUGGGGAGCAAACAGGAUUAGAUACCCCCGUAGUCCCUGUCUCUUAUAC
rnacentral:rRNA from 1 species